AAAGUGAGAUCGGACAUCAUCGCGGACGGGCAAUUAGGUGCCGGCACCGCUUACGCGUACGCUUAGUUGCUAAAUAGUUCAAAGUUACACAAUCGACUUGCUGUGGACUCAUUAUCUGAAGUAUAGUGUCCUUAAUUAAAGAGUGGCGCAGUUUAAACUGUGCUGCGUAGGCGAUCGUGUAAAAUAUGAACAAGCGGCUAUAUGUGUUUGUGUGAUCAGAUGCCGGUAUAAAAGUGCAUUACGUAUAUAUGUAUGCAUGUAUGCACAUAUCAUUUUUUGUUUAAUUUUACAAGUGUUUUAAAUUCGACAAUGGAAGAAAAGAAAAUGAACCCGACUGCGAGUAAUACGCUAACUAAAACCAUUUGGUACCUUUUGUACUUUUGGGCACAGUGUAUUUGGAAGCGUUCAGUGUGCGCCGGCGGCCAUCAUUUUUUUCGCUCUCCCUCUCUUAUUAACCAAACUGCGUGAGCAGUGCUUAAAAAAACUCAAAGAGAACGGACGUGGACGAGCAAUUAAUGCAAAAAGCUGAACGAGGCACAAACGGAUUAACACCAAAACACACAAGGACUAACUUUAAAAUAAGAAGACAAUGUCAAGACUCCCUAGCCCAAUUCGUUAGAUGAGGGCUGCGAUCCGCACGCAGCAAAUUUAACAGAACGCAGACGAUGCGAUUGGCGUGUUGCUAGCCCAAUUCGUUAGAAGAGAACAACAAUACUCACGACACAUAAAUUUCAUCUUAUACUAGGAUGGCCCUCAAACACAAAUUAAUUUAAAUUAUUUUUUCGGACAGAUGAACUAACACCAACUAACAAUUAAUAGCUUUGGACUAAACUAAAAACUAAUCGCAGCUAAAUAAAAAUUCC